AUUGAACGCUGGCGGAAUGCUUUACACAUGCAAGUCGAACGGCAGCACGGGGGCAACCCUGGUGGCGAGUGGCGAACGGGUGAGUAAUACAUCGGAACGUGCCCAAUCGUGGGGGAUAACGUAGCGAAAGCUACGCUAAUACCGCAUACGAUCUACGGAUGAAAGCGGGGGAUCGCAAGACCUCGCGCGAAUGGAGCGGCCGAUGGCAGAUUAGGUAGUUGGUGGGGUAAAGGCUCACCAAGCCAACGAUCUGUAGCUGGUCUGAGAGGACGACCAGCCACACUGGGACUGAGACACGGCCCAGACUCCUACGGGAGGCAGCAGUGGGGAAUUUUGGACAAUGGGCGAAAGCCUGAUCCAGCCAUUCCGCGUGCAGGAUGAAGGCCUUCGGUUGUAACUGCUUUGACGGACGAAAGACACUUCUAAUACAAGUGUCAUGACGUACGUCAGAUAAGACACCGGCGUAACUACUAGCCAGCAGCCGCGGU
rnacentral:rRNA from 1 species